GCCUCCGUAGCCCAACUGGCAGAGGCAAGCCCCUUAAAAGGGUUGAACUGUCGGUUCGAAUCCGACCGGAGGCACCG
rnacentral:tRNA from 1 species